GCAGGUCGCAUCGGCUGAUCGGAAUCUCUCCCCUUCCCCAACCCAACCCAAUCAAUCACUCAAGCAGUGAACAACCAGCCGCCUCCUCCUCCGCAACCUCAACGCCCCCUCCCCCGGCCGCGGCGGCAUGGAGGUGAACCUGUCGCGUGGUGCGGUGGCGGCCAUGUCGGAGCGGCCGGCGGCGCUGAGGCUGCGCCCGGUGCUGCAGGUGGCGGGCGCGCAGCAGCUUCCGGGGCUACCGCGGAGCGCGGCCUCCACGCCGCGGUGCAGGCUGAUGCUCUCGGACGGCGUCCACUGCCUGCAGGGCAUGCUCGUCUCCGGCCUGGCCCACCUCGUCGCGGACGGGGCGCUCCGCCGCGGCACCGUGCUCCAGCUCCUCGAGUACCAGUGCUGCACCGUACGGAACCGCAGGAUCUUCAUAUUUAUCCAUUUUGAAAUAUUGCAAACUGAGAGUGCAAUGAUUGGAAGUCCCAAACUCUAUGAGUGUGGACAAGGUGUUCAAUGUUCUUGCGGAUCCUCAAGUCCUGCAGAGAAAGUUGGUAGUAACUUAACACGUGCCGGUCUGGUUCAGGGUAUGUACAUGUCAGGUCCUUGUCUUGCUUCAGAGGCAGAAGUUGCCAGGAAAAAGGUUGCUCAAAUCAACGAUGAGAACUUGGAAUGCCCAGGUAAUGAAGAACUGGCUAUUGUUAAAGCUACUCUUUCAUAUAUAAACACCAAAAAUUUCUGUAAUACCGUUUGCCCGCUGGUGGUGAAUGGUAGGCAAUGCAACAGGAAGGUAGGUAGUAAUGGCCAUGGAUGGUGGCAUUGUGACAGAUGCAACCAGACCUUUGUUAACUGUGAUUUUAAGUACAUGGUUCUUGUUCAGCUACAAGAUUCAACUGGUAUGAUCUAUGCUGUUGUGUCGCAAGAGGCUGGUAAGGAGUUAUUUGGUUGCAAAGCAAAGGAACUCUACUCAUUGAAACAUGAAAAACGAGAUCAUGCGCAAUUUGAUGAUAUAGUUCAGAGGGUACUGUUUCAGCAAUAUCUAUGGAAACUGAAGGCAGAAACAGAGACAUUCAAUGAUGAACAGCUUGCUAAAUGGACGAUCAUCAAGGCUGAAAAGGUCAAUCCUUCAACUGAAAGUCAUCAUCUUCUGAGGGCGAUAGGCAUGCUUUUGCCAGAGGGUUCGGGUUCAACAUCUGCUAAUCAAGGUAUGGCAGCAGAACUUCCCUGGAAAACAGUUGCAGAAAUCACUGAUGUUUUAGGAUGCUUGGUUCAGCCAGAGUUGUUCAUUGUUAAAGCUACCCUCUCAAUCAUAAACACUGGGAGUUUCUGUUAUGCAGCAUGCCCAUUGGUGGUGAAUGGUAGCCAAUGCGGUAGGGAGGCUGCUCGUAAUAGCGAUGGGUGGUGGCACUGCAAUUCAUGCAACCAGACCUUUGUGACCUGUGACUAUAGGUACAGGAUUUUAGCUCAGCUACAGGAUCCCACGGGUAAUAUUUAUGCCUUUGUGUCGCAGGCGGGUGGGGAGGAUAUAUUUAGCCUAAGUGCAAAAGAGCUCUACUCAAUGAAAUAUGAGAAGCGGGAUCAUGCCCAGUUUGACAAUAUUGUAGAGCGUGUUCAGUUCCGUGAGUAUCUAUUCACGGUGAAGUUGGACAAGGCUGAAGUGGUGAAUCCAUCGACUGAAAGUCAUCGCCUUCUGAGCGUGAUCAACAAGCUUUUGCUGGAGAGUUCAGGUUCAGCCUCGGUGCCCCGCACCUCCACUGGCACAAGAACUGUUUUCUCAGGUUUGGAAUCCCAAGUCCAACAGAGGGUGCAUAUCUCCAGCUAUGCCAUGAACACUGGUGGGGCACGGUAUCUUGUCUCUCAGUCUGACAGCAACAGCCAGUAGGUGGGGAGGCCAGGAGAGGGCUUCUACGGCUCGUUGCUGCUCAAAUACAUCACGGACUAAAGUGUGUCUCAAAUGUCAUCAGGCAGGGCACUGGACUGAAGACUACCCAUGAUCUAACCCUUUUGGUCGUGCCGGUCUGCGUGGCGUGACAAAAGCACGCUGUCGCGUCACAUGCAUUGGCAUGACAAGAUGUGCCACGUUGGCACGCUUCGGAGCGCUCGGAAGGGGUCUGCCAGCUUAUAUUCCACGUGUCAACCUUGUCACACCACUCCCACCGGCGUGACAGUACAACUUUGUCACGCCACCCUCGCUGGUGUGAUAAGGUUUGAUUUUAGAAAAAUCAUAUUUUUUUCAUACAAACUCGGAUGAAGAUGAUUUUUAUACGAAAAUUGUAGCUCUCAAUGAGAUCUACAACUUUGUAGUUUUGAAUUUUUUCAUUUGAAGUCAUUAAGAUA